GAUGAACGCUGGCGGCGUGCCUAAUACAUGCAAGUCGAGCGAACAGACGAGGAGCUUGCUCCUCUGACGUUAGCGGCGAACGGGUGAGUAACACGUGAAUAACCUACCUAUAAGACUGGGAUAACUUCGGGAAACCGGAGCUAAUACCGGAUAAUAUAUUGAACCGCAUGGUUCAAUAGUGAAAGACGGUUUUGCUGUCACUUAUAGAUGGACCCGCGCCUCAUUAGCUAGUUAGGAAGGUACCGGCUUACGCAGGUAAUGGUGGCAAGCCGCCCUGAAAGGGUGGACUGCCACACGGGAACUGAGACACGGCCGCGACUCCUGCGGGAGGCCGCAGCAGGGAAUCCUACGCGAGGGAGGAAUGGUUGACGGAGCAAAGCGGCGGGAAUGAUGAUGGUCUUCGGAUCGGAAGACGAUGUUAGUAGGGAAAAACAAAUGUGUAAGUAACUAUGAACGUCUUGACGGUACCUAAUCAGAAAGCCACGGCUAACUACGUG
rnacentral:rRNA from 1 species